rnacentral:rRNA from 1 species
CCUACGGGAGGCAGCAGUGGGGAAUAUUGGGCAAUGGGCGCAAGCCUGACCCAGCAACGCCGCGUGAAGGAAGAAGGCCCUCGGGUUGUAAACUUCUUUUAUCAGGGACGAAGCAAGUGACGGUACUUGAUGAAUAAGUCACGGCUAACUACGGGCAAGCAGCCGCGGUAAUACGUAGGUGGCAAGCGUUAUCCGGAUUUACUGGGUGUAAAGGGCGUGUAGGCGGGAAAGCAAGUCAGAUGUGAAAACCAUGGGCUCAACCUGUGGCCUGCAUUUGAAACUGGUUGUCUUGAGGACUGGAGAGGCAGGCGGAAUUCGUGGUGUAGCGGUGAAAUGCGUAGAUAUUAGGAGGAACACCGGUGGCGAAGGCGGUCUGCUGGACAGCAACUGACGCUGAGGCGCGAAAGCGUGGGGAGCAAACAGGAUUAGAUACCCGUGUAGUC